AUGGUAGUUUGAACGGAGAUUCCUUUCAUGGUAUAUUCUCUUCCCCACAUUUUUGUUGGAAAUUUUUCAGGAAAAUCGGAUGAAUAAAAUCGAGGCAUACGGUGGGUCUCUCGAGGCAACCGAUAGGCCUCUAUUUGGUUCAACGAAUCUGGACGUGUACUAAGACCAGGAGUUACAAUAUGGUUUACUCCUCCCCAUUAUGAGGUUAAUGGCAGAUUUGAAUUCUCAAAUUCAUUGCGGGAGUUGCAUGAAAUUCAAUUCCCGAAUUCAUUAUAGGAGGUUUUCUUCCUUUAUAUUGGUGUAUCAUGUUUUGGUAGAAGAACUAGAGAUUCAUAUUGCUCCAUUUUACUCUGUAUAUUGUUCUUGUGAGAGAGAGACAGACGGCUGUUCAGUUCACCAAGGCAGUCGACGGUGGUGUUCCGACGGCUUGCGGUUUAGCCGAGCCAACUCUGGGAGAAAGACGCCAACACAUCCUACAACACUCACGGUAGGCGGCGAAUCUUUCUUAAGGAGACUGUGGUACCACACAGGACUCGGUUCUUGAUCCGAAAAUUCUGUUUGUAUCUCGUACUUACGAUUUGUCUACUGUUAUAUAUUUUGUAACUUGAUUCGUUCAUGUAAUCAUGUUGUUAUCAAUGAGAAUGUUCUCUGGAAUUUCUGUUAUUGCCGAAUUCUUCCCAACAAACUCAAGAAAGAUUCGGAUCUCCAAUCGGCAAAGAAUUCCAGAAAACAGUUUCUAUUAUGAACUAAUAUUUGGGUUGCAAGAACUGAUUCAUGGCAGAUUGAUUAUCCAAUUCAUUCGCCGCUGUCACGAGUUGGUGACUCUCAGUUCACCCACAUGCAGGUCAUGCACGCCAAAUCUUUAUAUACGGUAUCUGUAUAACUGUAGUGAUAGUUGGUUACUUUUGGGUUGUGGCAGUGCAUGUUUACAAUAUUGGUAAUGAUGAUCAUGAUAUGCAAGUAAACGGUGCUAGUUGGUUUUGGACUAACGUACUCUUUGAUGCAGUGGAGUUUUUCCUUUUCUUUAAUUAGACAAGGUACUUUCUUUGGGAACUCUACUGAUUUGGUUUAAGAGCACGUAAGAUACAUGCAGUUAUUUUCCCAUAUAAAUUUAAAAGUUGUGGUUUAUACUAUGGGUUAAUAGUUUUCGUUUCACGGACUUGUGGAAAGAAGUCUCUGUGGUUUCUAUGAUCAGUAGUAGUUUUCUCGAACGGAGAAAAACAGCCCGAUAGUUCUGUUCAUUUGGCAAUUAUAUUCCUAUAAAGAACAGUUUCGGUUUUGUGGCCUAAUGAUGAGUCACUGACGUAUUUGUAAUUUGCGUCUGGUAUUAGAGUAUUAUUCUAAGGUACCUCUGCACAUGUGACGGCCAAUUUGACUUUGUUACUUGGCUUGAUAUUUGACUAUUGGACUAAUGCUCUGAGAAUUCUAGUUAUCCUGGUUACGAAUUAUGAACCCGGUUAAGUUUGACAUUACAGUUUGCUUAAUGGGUGUUGUGCGUUAACAGGAUCAGUAAUCAAGCCAGUUUCGGGUUGCUUGGGAAAAUGUUUGUUUUCCCAUUUUGUGUUUGAUCUCGGUUUGGAGGACUAAAACUUAUUCUUUUUAGAAUAAUUUAAUUUAAUCCAUAUUUGGGCAUAACUUUUGUGGAUGGAAAUUUUGGUGAUUGGUUCCACAGGAUGGUGGAUAGCAUGCGGUUGGUCGGUGUUCAUGAUUGAAGGAUGGUACACACCUAGCAUGGUGGAGUCUCACUUGUGUGCGAGAUUAGAGUAAUCUGCUUGGCUUUGGCCUUAAUAGUAGAUUGCUUUAUGGAUGCUGAAAGGAAAAAAAAAAAAAAAAACCAGUUUGGCUUCGGCCUCAAAUAGUCGUGUGCGACUGGGUCUUGUAUGGGUUUUGUGAAAAUUAUUGGGCUAUGGCCUCGGCCAGUCAAGUGCGACUCGACCUCGGAUCAGUUUGUGUUAAAACUGUUUGGCUUCAGCCUCGAUUAGUCGUGCGCGACUCAAUCAUGGAUGUUGAUAACAGAUAGGCUACGGCCUUGGUAAGUCGUGCGCGACAUGACCUCAAAUCAAUAGUUUAUACGGUUUUUGGGCUGGUCUACUCCGCUUGGACCAUACCUGGUCAUUCUGGAUUUGUUUCGAAAAAUAAGUUCUUGUUUUCGGACAAAAGCAGAUUGGGAUUACUCAACCAUUAACAAUACUAUUAAUAUCCCACGUUUGUGUAUUGGUGGUGCAUUGUAUAUUCUUAAAAAUUGAAGUUUUUAAGAAUUGGGUUUAUGGCUCUUAAUGAUGGCUGGAGUUACUAGUCAGAAAUGGAUUUUGAUAGUGCAACCUAUGCACGUGGUUUUUUUUUUAGCUUUCUGUUUCAAUUGGUUUUGUCCUUUUCUUGUCUGUUAGUAAGGUCUAUUUUUCCAUUGGGAAAAAAAAGAAAAGAAAAGAAAAGAAAAACAUAGUAUAUGUUAUUUAUUAAUGCAAAGCCAAAAACUUUGGAGUACACACUUUUUGUUUAGCAUAAAUAUCAGUCACUUAUGCUAUGUUGUGAAUAAUAGAUUCUAUGAUUCUAUGUUAAUAUGUGAAUUCAGUAAGGUUUUCCACGUGUAAAUGGGAAAUAUGGAGAUAUUUGUACAGGCUUGAACUUUUAUAUAGUUCAGGAAACUGGUCGCAUUUGGCAUCUUUGCACAUUAUAUGCAUAUAUGUUGUUGGAGAUCUCAAAUGGUUCUUACAAUGGGAAUACUUGUGAUGGUAUUGUCCCAAGUGGUUUGACUACAACUGUCUGGUGCGCCAACAGUGGUUCUUACGGAACAUGUUCCUCUCGUUUGGGAAAAUGAGCAGGACGGGCAAGUGGUUGCCGUUGUAAGGUUCAAGUGACAAGGAAUUCUUAGGUUCAAUGAGACUAUUUUUCACGAGUAGCCGAGAAUGAUCACUGAGGAGACUCUGUCUCCUGCCCAUUCCUAUGGUGUAGAACAGUGAUACCUGCAAAUGAAAAGAGGUUAAGCAUUGCUUUUAAUGACUCCUAUGCGCUAGAUUUCCAGGCGGGGUAUAACAGGAUACUCUUUAUAGGAAGGUCACCUAUGUAAGUAUGAAGUAGGGUCGCUUCUUUGAGAAUUGUGGCGAAAUUCUCGAGAAAAUACUCGCAGAACCAGGAAGGGGGUGUCAUGGCCAAAAUGAACCCAAUAGUGAGAACUAAACUACGUCAGGAGAAGUCCUGUGUGACGUCUGUUGUCUCAGUUUACAUCGGCGGUGGAACAGUUCAAAGCGGGACCGCACACUGGUCUGCUAAUAGACCCGAUAGGCUAUCACAACGGAAGGUUCCAGGCCAAAAGCCACCUAUCCUAUGCAGGGAUUAUCCGUUGUCUCUCUCUCGAAUCAGCUUUGUACUCUGCGUCAGUUUGUCUGCCAAUUUCAUUCAUGGGGGGGAUUGUUGAAAAUUUUCCAGGAAAAUCGGAUGAAUAAAAUCGAGGCAUACGGAGGGUCUUUCGAGGCAACCGAUAGGCCUCUAUUUGGUUCAAUGAAUCUAGACGUGUACUAAGACCAGGAGUUACAACAUGGUUUACUCCUCCCCAUUAUGAGGUUAAUGGCAGAUUUGAAAUUUGAAAUUCAUUGCGGGAGUUACAUGAAAUUCAAUUUCCGAAUUCAUUAUAGGAGGUUUUCUUCCUUUAUAUUGGUGUAUCAUGUUUUGGUAGAAGAACUAGAGAUUCAUAUUGCUCCAUUUUACUCUGUAUAUUGUUCUUGUGAGAGAGAGACAGACGGCUGUUCAGUUCGCCAAGGCAAUCGACAGUGGUGUUCCAACGGCUUGCGGUUUAGCCGAGCCAAUCCUGGGAGAAAGACGCCAACACAUCCUACAACACCCACGGUAGGCGGCGAAUCUUUCUUAAGGAGACUAUGGUGUCACACAGGACUCGGUUCUUGAUCCGAAAAUUCUGUUUGUAUCUCGUACUUACGAUUUGUCUACUAUUAUGUAUUUUGUAACUUGAUUCGUUCAUGUAAUCAUGUUGUUAUCAAUGAGAAUGUUCUCUGGAAUUUCUGUUAUUGCCGAAUUCUUCCCAACAAUUUUUCCCUUCUCGCACCAAGUAUUGACUUAAUUGAUACUCCUACUUUUAAAUUUUCCUUUUUAGCUUUUCCCUUGAGCAUUGGCCAAAGUCACCACGAAUAUUUCUUGCUAUCCGAAAUAAGAUGUCUGGUAGAAAAAUUUGUUCUUGUGCAUAGUUCUCCUUUUGAUCAUAUAUUCCUUCUAGAUAAAAAUUCCUAUGGUCAGCUAAUUUGUUUGGGUUCAGGAAAUCUUUUUUUUUUUUGGGUAGGAUUUGAUGACAUGGAAUAUAAGUUGCCAGCACAAUAAGGAAUACAAAGUUAUCAAGAAUGAUUCUGUUGCUGACUUAAAGUCUAUGCUUAUGCCGGAUCAUGCGUGACCUCGUUUCUUUCUCUUUAUGCUACAUUACGUUAUGAGUUCAGUAAUUCUCUCUGCAAAAUCACCCUCACCCAACAAUCCAAACCCACGCUUGUUGAAUCGGCCCACUUUACCUUCCUUCGUUCCCCUGCUUUCCCUUCCCUGUUUUCUUUUACAGGUUUGCAACACGUUCUAGCUUGCCCUUGUUUUAUCUCAGCUGAUGGGAACAUGUAAAUUUUAAAGAGUGAUUAUAAAUAAAAUGGUCAUCAGUAUUCCAUUCAUGCGCUGGGUUCCUGUACAAAACCCAUGGCCAAAACUCAAACAAAAACACGCUACUACCUAGAACCUACUAAGGGUGACCGAGUGAUUGCUACAGUUGCAGUGCAUGCUCAAGGAGAUCAAAUUGUAUACCAGUCGUGUCUUACUUUCAUGCAGCAAUAUCAAAAUAUAUUACCAUUGGGUCACAUUUGUGUCUGGAAUUCAAGCUUCCGGCUACACACAUGGUUAGAUGAUAUUGUCUACUAUUCAUUUCUUCGCUGUAGCACUCAGGGUAAGGGCAAAAUGUCCACCUAUUAUUUACUUUAUUGCUUCGCACUAUUAUGUUUGUGAACCAAACACUUUUAUUCUGUUUCCUCUGAUCAUUUUGGCCAUUCAAUUGUUGCUUUCUUUA